rnacentral:rRNA from 1 species
UACAGAGACUGCAAGCGUUAUUCGGAUUCACUGGGCGUAAAGGGUGCGCAGGCGGUUGGGUGUGUCAGAUGAAAUCCCGAGGCUUAACCUCGGAACUGCGUCUGAAACUACUCGACUAGAGUACUGGAGAGGGUAACGGAAUUCACGGUGUAGCAGUGAAAUGCGUAGAUAUCGUGAGGAACACCAGAGGCGAAGGCGGUUACCUGGACAGUUACUGACGCUCAGGCACGAAAGCAUGGGGAGCAAAAGGG